AAUCAACGCUGGCGGCGCGCCCAACACAUGCAAGUCGAACGAGAAAGCAGGAGCAAUCUUGUGAGUAAAGUGGCGUACGGGUGAGUAACACGUGGAUCAUCUACCCUCUUGUGGGGGAUAACCCUGGGAACCGGAGCUAAUACCGCAUAAGUCCGAGAGGAGAAAGCAGCAAUGCGCUGGAGGGAGGAGUCCGCGGCCGAUUAGCUAGUUGGUAGGGUAAAAGCCUACCAAGGCAACGAUCGGUAGCCGGCCUGAGAGGGCACACGGCCACACUGGCACUGAAACACGGGCCAGACUCCUACGGGAGGCAGCAGGUGGGGAAUCUUGCACAAGUGGGGGCAACCCUGAUGCAGCGACGCCGCGUGAGCGAUGAA
rnacentral:rRNA from 1 species